AGUGAACGCUGGCGGCAGGCCUAACACAUGCAAGUCGAACGGCAGCACAGUAAGAGCUUGCUCUUAUGGGUGGCGAGUGGCGGACGGGUGAGGAAUACAUCGGAAUCUACUCUUUCGUGGGGGAUAACGUAGGGAAACUUACGCUAAUACCGCAUACGACCUACGGGUGAAAGCGGAGGACAUUCGGGCUUCGCGCGAUUGAAUGAGCCGAUGUCGGAUUAGCUUGUUGGCGGGGUAAAGGCCCACCAAGGCGACGCUCCGUAGCUGGUCUGAGAGGAUGAUCAGCCACACUGGAACUGAGACACGGUCCAGACUCCUACGGGAGGCAGCAGUGGGGAAUAUUGGACAAUGGGCGCAAGCCUGAUCCAGCCAUGCCGCGUGGGUGAAGAAGGCCUUCGGGUUGUAAAGCCCUUUCGUUGGGAAAGAAAAGCAGUCGGUUAAUACCCGAUUGUUCUGACGGUACCCAAAGAAUAAGCACCGGCUAACUUCGUGCCAGCCGCCGCGGUAA
rnacentral:rRNA from 1 species